UACGGAGGGUGCAAGCGUUGUCCGGAUUUAUUGGGUUGAAAGGGUGCGUAGGCGGCCGAUUAAGUCCGGGGUGAAAGCCCACUGCUCAACAGUGGAACUGCCCUGGAAACUGGUUGGCUUGAGUACAGACGAGGGUGGCGGAAUGGAUACUGUAGCGGUGAAAUGCAUAGAUAGUAUCCAGAACCCCGAUUGCGAAGGCAGCUGCCUAGACUGUAACUGACGCUGAGGCACGAAAGCGUGGGGAGCGAACAGG
rnacentral:rRNA from 1 species